rnacentral:rRNA from 1 species
UACGAAGGGGGCUAGCGUUGUUCGGAAUUACUGGGCGUAAAGGGCGCGUAGGCGGUUUGUCAAGUCAGGCGUGAAAGCCCCGGGCUCAACCUGGGAACUGCGCUUGAGACUGGCAGGCUCGAGUUCGGGAGAGGAUGGUGGAAUUCCCAGUGUAGAGGUGAAAUUCGUAGAUAUUGGGAAGAACACCGAUGGCGAAGGCGACUUUCUGGACUGUAACUGACGCUGAGGCGCGAAAGCGUGGGGAGCGAACAGG